rnacentral:rRNA from 1 species
GACGAACGCUGGCGGCGUGCUUAACACAUGCAAGUCGAACGGAAAGGCCCCUUUGGGGUUACUGAGUGGCCAACGGGGGAGUAACAAGUGAGUUACCCGCCCUUUACUUUCGGAUAAAUUCCGGAAACCGGGGCUAAUACCGGAUAGGAAAUCCUUCCGGCUUGGGGGGGGUGGGAAGCUUCGGCGGUUUUGGAUGGACUCGCGGCUUAUCAGCUUGUUGGUGGGGUAGUGGCUUACCAAGGCUUUGACGGGUAGCCGGCCUGAGAGGGCGACCGGCCACAUUGGGACUGAGAUACGGCCCAGACUCCUACGGGAGGCAGCAGUGGGGAAUAUUGCACAAUGGGCGGAAGCCUGAUGCAGCAACGCCGCGUGCGGGAUGACGGCCUUCGGGUUGUAAACCGCUUUCAGCAGGGGCGAAGCUUGUGGUGACGGUACCUGCAGAAGAAGCACCGGCUAACUACGUG